rnacentral:rRNA from 1 species
UACGGAGGGUGCAAGCGUUAUUCGGAAUUACUGGGCGUAAAGCGCGUGUAGGCGGGAAGGUAAGUCUGAUGUGAAAGCCCUGGGCUCAACCUGGGAAGUGCAUUGGGUACUGCUUUUCAUGAGUUCUGGAGAGGAUGGGGGAAUUCCCGGUGUAGAGGUGAAAUUCGUAGAGAUCGGGAGGAAUAUCAGUGGCGAAGGCGCCCAUCUGGACGGCAACUGACGAUGAGACGCGAAAGCGUGGGGAGCAAACAGG